GAUGAACGCUGGCUACAGGCUUAACACAUGCAAGUCGAGGGGAAACGACGGGGAAGCUUGCUUCCCCGGGCGUCGACCGGCGCACGGGUGAGUAACGCGUAUCCAACCUGCCUCUGACUGAGGGAUAACCCGUCGAAAGUCGGCCUAAUACCUCAUGGUAUCGUCUGCGGGCAUCCAACGACGAUUAAAGAUUUCAUCGGUCAGGGAUGGGGAUGCGUCUGAUUAGCUUGUUGGCGGGGUAACGGCCCACCAAGGCUACGAUCAGUAGGGGUUCUGAGAGGAAGGUCCCCCACAUUGGAACUGAGACACGGUCCAAACUCCUACGGGAGGCAGCAGUGAGGAAUAUUGGUCAAUGGGCGAGAGCCUGAACCAGCCAAGUAGCGUGCAGGAAGACGGCCCUAUGGGUUGUAAACUGCUUUUAUGCGGGGAUAAAGUGAGGGACGUGUCCCUCAUUGCAGGUACCGCAUGAAUAAGGACCGGCUAAUUCUGUG
rnacentral:rRNA from 1 species